AUGGCUUAGCAAGUAAAGGCACUUGACACCAAGCCUGGCAAUCUGAGUUUGAUUUCUGGAACCCACACAGUAGAAGACAAGUGACUCCCCCAGGUCCCCAGGUUGUUCUCUCAUCUCCAGAUCCACACUGGGGGCAUGAGCAUACACUCCAUCAAUCAAUCAGUCAAUAAAGUGGAGACUGAUCACCACUGAUCCACACUGGGGGCAUGAGCAUACACUCCAUCAAUCAAUCAGUCAAUAAAGUGGAGACUGAUCAACGAAGACACCCAACACUGCCAACACACACACACACACACACACACACACACACACACACACACACACACACACACGAGCGAGCGCACGGGGGUGGGGGGGGGGGGAGCGCUUCAUGAACUGACAGAUGGAGGAGAAAGUCAAAAAGGAGUACAGAAAACAAUCACAUUUGUGUAGAAGAAAUUUAUAAUAGAGGGGUUUUUUAAAGCCAUAACUGCUUGUUUUUGUUUGUUUUGUUUUUUGAGACAGAGUCCCACUAUGUGGCCAGGAACUUGCACUCCGCCUGCCUCAGCCUCUAGAGUGUUGGGAUUACAGGUAUGUGCCACCAUGUCCAGUUUGUCUGAGUUUUUACAAUGUAACUGAUUAUGGUGGUCACAGAAAUAUGCCACAUCUAUUGAAGUUUUACAAUGUAAUUUAUGGUGGUCAAGGAAAUAUGUCACAUCUACUGAAGUUUUACAAUGUAACUUAUUAUGAUGGUCACGGAAAUAUGUCACAUCUACUGCUAAGGAAAUGUUGCUGAAGGCUCAGCAGUAAUCCCUUCAGAGACUAGACUAAUAAGACAACACUUUGCACGGACCUUCCCACCCCAAGCCAAUCCCCAGCCAGUGACUGACCAACAGAGACAUGUUUCAGACUCUGUUGAUCUGGCUGGAUUCUUCCUGCCUAAAAACCUUCACAGGAGGCCAGACCUGCAUCGCUGACUGGAAGGUUCUUCGUCACCCCCCUUCCCUUUAUUUGUGUAGGCACUCCAAUAAACACAUACUACCUGUCCAUUUGUUGAUCCCAGGGCUUGCUUCUGGAACACCUGCACUAGCACACUAUGGGAUGAAAAACAGGACAGCUGCCUGAGCUGUCCUGAGAAUAAGAUGGAGCAGGACUCCCCAGCUGCAGAGCCUAAGUUUCUGUCCAUGAGCAGACAGCGAUCUUCCACUCCACGCUCAAAAAGGAGAGCAGGGGCCAUCUCAGAGUUCUUGAACAUGCCUGUGAUGUCCUGGCUGAACUCCUCUGGUCCACUGCAGCUAGUGACCAUGCAGGCCACUGCCUCCAAAUCUCAGGAUCACUCCAUCUCUCGGAUUCCAACCUCUAGCCACACCAGCUUCUUUCACUUGCUUCCAAAGAUGUCCUCAUUCUCUGCGUAUCCUGGUCCCUCUCAAAAGUAUGCUUACUCCAUUCCUUCCAACACACACAUAGAUUCAUUCACCCUAAGACCUGACUGGGUGGCACAUAUACAUCCAACAAAUAUGUACCAACUUAUGAUGUACCAGGGUUUUUUUCUCAGGCACUGUGGAUGCAGAAGCAAAGAACAAACAAACAAACAAACAAACAAACAAACAAACAAAAACCCUGGCUCAUUGAGCCCAGUGGAGACUGGAGACAAUUUCUAACAUAAUAUACAGUCUAUGAUUAUGAAGAGGAGGAGGGAAUGGGACCAGGAUUGCAGUCUUAAACAGGGCAGUCAAGGAAGGCUUGCCUAAGCAACAUUUGAGCAAAGAUGACAGGGUAAAUACACCAUAGGGUUGAGUAAGGGUAUCUUUACUCAGGGUGCCUGGCUUUUCUGAAAAGCAAGAUGCCCAGUGUAGCAAGAUGGGGGAAAAUAGAUGGGUUCAGAGGCUUUCUGUGGGCUACUGGCCAGGACACUGUAUGCUAGUAAGAACUUCAGACUUCUGUGCUGAGUGAGGAGGGGCAGAGAGGGUUUGGCAUGAUCCCUGUUUAAAAGGAUCUCUCUAUUGUCUCAAAAAUGCACUAGGGCCUUCGAGACGGUUCACUUGCAGCUCCCGCCUGGCUACCUGGGUUCAAUCCCCGGAAUUAAACUUUACGAAUUUUACAAAACCCAUGUGAAAGGAGAAAAGCAAUUCAAGGCUAUCCUCUGACCUCCAUGUGUGCGCAUCCAUGCUCCACAGGAAGGUAUAGUGAAAAAUAACUUUAAUUUAAAAAGUGGGCUGCAAUGAAGUGUUGGUAUACAAGGCUCAGCAACAAUCCAGGCAAAGGGGGACAGUGACAGGAAUAAUCCAGUCUUCACUCACUCCAGGCUGUCUGAGCUGCCUGGACAUCAGCUCUUCGGACUAGGAUGUCCCCAAUUCUUGUCACAUGUGUAGGUAAUCAGCGUGUGAUAUUCAGGUAAUACCUUGUAGCACCAAACAAGGUAUUAAGACAUACAGACCCCAUGCAUACUUUAUUUCAAUUUACUUCACAGAGGUGUGCUGAGCAAGGAACAGGACAAUCCUGGCCUCACUGGAUCCACCCUGGGCUGUUUCCAUGGCAGUCACCAACAGGGAAGACAAGCUAAUGACCCGCCAUUCUUGGAAUGUCUCACACAUCUGAUAUCCUCUGAAUGAAAUUUCCUCUCCUGUUUGCUGCCAACCAUAUAACUCAUCCUCAAGGUCCAGCUGCAAUGUCACCUACUCUGUAAAGCCUCCCGAUGUUC